AUGAUACUCCUUCUGUCCGGAAAUACUUGUCCGGAGAAUGGAAGUAUCUAGAUGUAUUUUAUUUUUAGAUGCAUCCAUCUGUAUCCAUUUUCGCGACAAGUAUUUUCAGACGGAGGGAGUACAUA
rfam:Triticum aestivum genome assembly, contig: Triticum_aestivum_CS42_TGACv1_scaffold_030329_1BL